rnacentral:rRNA from 1 species
CCGACGGUGAGAGACGAAAGCUGGGGGAGCAAACCGGAUUAGAUACCCGGAUAGUCCCAGCCGUAAACGAUGUGCGUUAGGUGUAUCGGUGACCACGAGUCACCGAGGUGCCGAAGAGAAAUCGUGAAACGUACCGCCUGGGAAGUACGGUCGCAAGGCUGAAACUUAAAGGAAUUGGCGGGGGAGCACCACAACAGGUGGAGCCUGCGGUUUAAUCGGACUCAACGCCGGAAAACUCACCAGAUAAGACAGCUGAAUGAUAGUCGGGCUGAAGACUCUACUUGACUAGCUGAGAGGAGGUGCAUGGCCGUCGUCAGUUCGUACUGUGAAGCAUCCUGUUAAGUCAGGCAACGAGCGAGACCCACGCCAACAGUUGCU